rnacentral:lncRNA from 1 species
AAAGACCUAUUUUCUCGCAUGGAUUCAGAUUAAUCGUAUAAAACGGCAAUGGUUAACUUAACACCUUAGCCGCCUUAACUAUACGAUUACGUUGAACCUUUUUACAAAAAUCGACGUCUUAUCUAAGGAGAAGAUAACAGUCAAGUUCGGAAGAUAAAUGUCAAGUUUCAAAGGAUUAACACCAAUAUCGGAAAUGGCGAACAUACACGAGAAUAGGAAACGGAAAUGAGCACGCAAAACUGAGAAGGGACAAAACUGCAUCUUCG